rnacentral:rRNA from 1 species
ACGACUCUCGGCAACGGAUAUCUUGGCUCUCGCAUCGAUGAAGAACGUAGCAAAAUGCGAUACCUGGUGUGAAUUGCAGAAUCCCGCGAACCAUCGAGUUUUUGAACGCAAGUUGCGCCCGAAGCCUUCUGGCGGAGGGCACGUUUGCCUGGGCGUCACGCCAAAAGACACUCCCAACACCCCCCCCCCCCCGCGGGGCGAGCGACGUGGCGUCUGGCCCCCCGCGCCGAAGGGCGAGGUGGGCCGAAGCAGGGGCUGCCGGCGAACCGCGCCGGGCGCAGCACGUGGUGGGCGACAUCAAGUUGUUCUCGGUGCAGCGUCCCGGCGCGAGGCCGGCCAUUCGGCCCUAAGGACCCAUCGAGCGACCGAGCUUGCCCUCGGACCGCGACCCCAGGUCAGUCGGGACUACCCGCUGAGUUUAAGCAUAUAAAUAAGCGGAGGAGAAGAAACUUACGAGGAUUCCCCUAGUAACGGCGAGCGAAUCGGGAGCAGCCCAGCUUGAGAAUCGGGUGGCCUCGCCGCCCGAAUUGUAGUCUGGAGAGGCGUCCUCAGCGACGGACCGGGCCCAAGUUCUCUGGAAAGGGACGCCUGGGAGGGUGAGAGCCCCGUCCGGCCCGGACCCUGUCGCACCACGAGGCGCCGUCAACGAGUCGGGUUGUUUGGGAAUGCAGCCCAAAUCGGGCGGUAAACUCCGUCCAAGGCUAAAUACAGGCGAGAGACCGAUAGCGAACAAGUACCGCGAGGGAAAGAUGAAAAGGACUUUGAAAAGAGAGUCAAAGAGUGCUUGAAAUUGCCGGGAGGGAAGCGGAUGGGGGCUGGCGACGCGCACCGGCCGUAUGCGGAACGGCUCCUGCUGGUCCGCCGAUCGGCUCGGGGCGUGGACCGUUGUCGCCCGCGCCGGCGGCCAAAGCCCGGGGGCCCUAGGCGCCUCCGGCAGCCGUCGUCGGCACGGACGGUAUCCGCGUGCCUCUGGCGCGCCCCUCGGGGCGCUGCGCCGCAACGGCCUGCGAGCUCCCCAUCCGACCCGUCUUGAAACACGGACCAAGGAGUCUGACAUGCGUGCGAGUCGACGGGUUCAGAAACCUGAGAUGCGCAAGGAAGCUGACGAGCGGGAGGCCCUCACGAGCCGCACCACUGGCCGACCCUGAUCUUCUGUGAAGGGUUCGAGUUGGAGCACGCCUGUCGGGACCCGAAAGAUGGUGAACUAUGCCUGAGCGGGGCGAAGCCAGAGGAAACUCUGGUGGAGGCUCGAAGCGAUACUGACGUGCAAAUCAUUCGUCUGACUUGGGUAUAGGGGCGAAAGACUAAUCGAACCAUCUAGUAGCUGGUUCCCUCUGAAGUUUCCCUCAGGAUAGCUGGAGCCCACACGAGUUCUAUCGGGUAAAGCCAAUGAUUAGAGGCAUCGGGGGCGCAACGCCCUCGACCUAUUCUCAAACUUUAAAUAGGUAGGACGGCGCGGCUGCUUCGGUGAGCCGUGCCACAGAAUCGGGAGCUCCAAGUGGGCCAUUUUUGGUAAGCAGAACUGGCGAUGCGGGAUGAACCGGAAGCUGGGUUACGGUGCCAAACUGCGCGCUAACCUAGAACCCACAAAGGGUGUUGGUCGAUUAAGACAGCAGGACGGUGGUCAUGGAAGUCGAAAUCCGCUAAGGAGUGUGUAACAACUCACCUGCCGAAUCAACUAGCCCCGAAAAUGGAUGGCGCUGAAGCGCGCGACCCACACCCGGCCAUCUGGGCGAGCGACAUGCCCCGAUGAGUAGGAGGGCGCGGCGGCCGCCGCAAAACCCGGGGCGCGAGCCCGGGCGGAGCGGCCGUCGGUGCAGAUCUUGGUGGUAGUAGCAAAUAUUCAAAUGAGAACUUUGAAGGCCGAAGAGGAGAAAGGUUCCAUGUGAACGACACUUGCACAUGGGUAAGCCGAUCCUAAGGGACGGGGGAAACCCGGCAGAUAGCGCGAUCACGCGCGUCACCCGAAAGGGAAUCGGGUUAAGAUUUCCCGAGCCGGGACGUGGCGGCAGACGGCGACGUUAGGAAGUCCGGAGACGCCGGCGGGGGCCUCGGGAAGAGUUAUCUUUUCUGCUUAACGGCCCGCUAGUGGCAGAACCACCCGAAUUAUUCCAGCUUAAGUGCCUAAGUCACGCCUCAGGGGCCGUAACACACUUAAAUCGGAAUAACCUGUCAGUCCUUCAGAUCUAGUCUGAUAGAGCCACUUAACCAGGAUCAAAUUCCACAAUCUCACUCGAAGGUGAGUCACAGAAGAAAUACAAUAAAACAGGAAACCUCAAAUUAAGUACUGAGUUAUUACAUAAAUCGGAGUUUUGAGUAGCAAUAGAGUUCACAAAUUAAGGUGCAGCGGAUAAUCGAUGUCGUCGGUAAUGAGGAAAUGGGCAAGGCCUAGCCCACUACUCCUCAUGCUCCUCUCCUGCCGGAGCAACAUCCCACUCGACCGUCCAACCCGGUGGCAGGGUGGUAGGCCAAGUCACACCAUCAACCAAAUCCUGCAUGGUACCUGCAAAAAUUGUGCCACAAGCAAGGCUGAGUAUACUAAUACUCAGCUAGACUUAACCGGUGUGAGGAGUCUACUCCUCUACCUCUAGACUAUGCAGCUGUUUGGCUGAGGGGUUUGGUUUGCCAAAAGCACUAGCUGUUUCUAAAAUCAAUUUUUAGCUUUUCAAAUUCUACCAUCAUUAACUUAGCUAGAUUUGCUCCUUCUAAGCAUACAUGGUAACAAGCAUUUAGUUCAAUCAACAAGUUAUCUCAUAUAUCCACAUUUCACUUCUUACUCGAUGCAGUACAAGGAAUCAAGCAGUCUUAUUAGCUGCGAGAAGCAGACGAUUCGAAUCGAGUUUUAACCUUGCAAGGUAAACCUAAACACACGUCAUGUCAGGGUACUCCGACCUCGCACAUGACAACCGUCCCCAUCGAUUCCCCGUUCGCAUCCAGGCCUCACCGCCUUGGCAUACAAUGCUCCACUGACCCCGGCUGCCGCCGUGCAGUGACCGCACUUGUACCCACC